UUGUUGGCGGUGCUGUCCUUGGUAUUUUUCUGUACUGGAUGUAGAUGUACAGAAGAAACCAGAAGUUGUACACGAGGUUUAGUGCCAAACCCUCCACCAAUUUGUGAUGCAAGCAGAGCUGUCAGCAGUGCGUAGCAAACCAGAAGGCUGAGCCUGCAGAACUACUGCCUGUGCUAUGCUGUGCUGCACUGCAGAGAACCCGGCCCCAGGGAGAGUUGCAGUGGGGAGAGCUGCAGGGGGGAGAGCUGCGACUCACACAGCCUUGAAGCAAGGGCACCACUAACCUGCUCCACCUGCAGCCUGCCUGCACUGGAAUAACACGGUCACUGCAGCUUUCUCUCUGGGGAAAGAGCAUUUUUGUUACAGAAAAAGCAAAAUCCUUAAUAUAUUUAAUAUAUUUAAUAAUAAAAUAAAAGGAAAGGAAAAACUAGCAAAGCCUAGGGAUGUCUUCUUUCUGAGCAUCAAACAGUGAUACAAAAGUCAUUUAAAUAGGGCUUUCAGAACCCACAACAAAUGCUAUUUAUUAAUAAUGCUCUUUUUGAGUGCUGUCCAGUAUGUCUAAUGUUACACAUGUUAAAGGAAAAGAUACUAAAGAAAGAGGCAAACUUUUCACUAAAGCGAUAGUCUGAGCUGUGUAGGUUAGUUGUAACAUGACUUAUCGUACCUGAAAUCUCCAUUAUCAGCUGUUCUAAUGCAGGUUUCCAUGUAUGACAGGCAUUGUGCUGACAAGGUCCUGCAUGCUGCCAUGGGGGCACACCAGAGGUAGCAUUGAGGGUAACUGUAUGCCUGAGGCUGAAACACCUGUGCAUUACUCCCCAGUGAAAUUCAGCCUGUAAUUCUCAACUUCUUGUGUUCUCCUAUUCUGGCUUCCUGAAAAGCCAUGAGCUGUGCAUGUCACCACCUACAGUAGUAAGAAACAAUUCCCUUCCGGCUCUAGAAAGGUGCCAAUGCCAAGCUCCACUGUAAGCUCCAUUGUCAAGUAUUGUGGGUUGGUUGGUUUGUUUGUUUGUUUCAGCCAGACUCUUGGAGUCAUGGCUUGGCUUCUUAUCACUGAACAGAGUUUGCCACCAAGCACUUCAGUGGGGCUCCUUUGAGUUUUUGCUGAUGAAGCUGUUGUACUUUGCUUAACAUUUCUAAUACACAUUUGGAUUCCACCUUCUGUUCAAAUCUUCUGCCAUAUAGAUUUCUCUUUGCCUUUUUCUCUCUCCAGAUUGUUUAAUCUUCUUAAGCAAAAUUAAACUCAGUGCAAAAUACUAGAAGAAGCCUACCCAAAAAUACUCAGUUUCUCAGUAUUAUUUCUCAUAUUUGCUCACACUGCAUCUUUUGCACUUUAAAUCUACAUUUUCCAUGUCUCCCCAGAUGCUCCAACCAGCUUACUCUUGAGGCAAAAGCUUUUGCAGUGGCUCUGCCAACACUGUGUUUCCAGAGGACUAGAGGUUGUCAGUGCAUGCUUUAU
rnacentral:lncRNA from 1 species